rnacentral:rRNA from 1 species
AUACGGAGGAUCCGAGCGUUAUCCGGAUUUAUUGGGUUUAAAGGGUGCGCAGGCGGCCAUUUAAGUCAGCGGUUAAAUCGUAGGGCUCAACCCCAUUCUGCCGUUGAUACUGGGUGGCUUGAUUGCGGUCGAGGUUGGCGGAAUUCGUUGUGUAGCGGUGAAAUGCAUAGAUAUGACGAAGAACGCCGAUUGCGUAGGCAGCUGACCAGACCGCAAAUGACGCUCAUGCACGAAAGUGCGGGGAUCGAACAGGAUUAGAUACCCUGGUAGUCCGCACAGUAAACGAUGAAUACUUGUUUUCGGCGAUAUAAUGUCGGAGGCAAAGCGAAAGCGAUAAGUAUUCCACCUGGGGAGUACGCCGGCAACGGUGAAACUCAAAGGAAUUGACGGGG